AGCGAACGCUAGCGGCGGGCCUAACACAUGCAAGUCGAGCGCAUACCUUCGGGUAUGAGCGGCGGACGGGUGAGUAACGCGUAGGUCAUCUACCCUUUGGUGGGGGAUAACCCAGGGAAACUUGGGCUAAUACCGCACGAGGUCCACGGAUCAAAGCCUUCGGGCGCCAGAGGAUGAGCCUGCGUCGCAUUACCUAGUUGGCGGGGUAACGGCCCACCAAGGGGACGAUGCGUAGCUGGUCUGAGAGGAUGAUCAGCCACACUGGGACUGAGACACGGCCCAGACUCCUACGGGAGGCAGCAGUGGGGAAUAUUGCGCAAUGGGGGGAAACCCUGACGCAGCCACGCCGCGUGGGUGAUGAAGGCCUCGGUUGUAAAGCCCUGUCGGG
rnacentral:rRNA from 1 species